rnacentral:rRNA from 1 species
GACGAACGCUGGCGGCGUGCUUAACACAUGCAAGUCGAGCGGUAAGGCCCUUUCGGGGGUACACGAGCGGCGAACGGGCGAGUAACACGUGGGUGACCUGCCCUUAGCUCUGGGAUAAGCCUGGGAAACUGGGUCUAAUACCGGAUAUGACUCCAUGACGCAUGUUGUGGGGUGGAAAGCCUUGUGCGGCUAGGGAUGGGCCUGCGGCCUAUCAGCUUGUUGGUGGGGUGAUGGCCUACCAAGGCGACGACGGGUAGCCGGCCUGAGAGGGCGACCGGCCACACUGGGACUGGGACACGGCCCAGACUCCUACGGGAGGCAGCAGUGGGGAAUCUUGCGCAAUGGGCGAAAGCCUGACGCAGCGACGCCGCGUGGGGAUGACGGCCU